GGAAUAAAAAGUCAACGUUAGUAAUAAUAGUAAACGGAGCAAUGGACAAAAAGUUUAAAAACCUAUGUUAUAAUUUAAUUCUUGUAUGGACUAGCAAUAAGACUACAUAUAGUUAAUUCAUAUUACCAGCCCCUAGUUUUCCCAUUUGAAAAAUAUUGAGGUGGCUGAUGUGAAAGUGCUUUGUAAAUAAUUAGAUAUAUUUGAGGAACAUAUUAUUAUUGCCAUGCUCUGAUUUCAAAUGCUAACUGCACUAUUGAGAGCCAGGGUUCAUAAACACCCCCGCCACCCCCACAUAGACACACCUUACAGCCAACAACCUAUUUACUGACCAGAAAGCCAUGAGUAGUGAGGUAAAUGCCAGGAACUGGCAUCUUGGCUGCCCAUAGCUUUAGUCCACACCCUGGCAGCACUGAGUAUAUUUCUUUCAUUAUUUAUACUUAAGAAACUCCAUGUCAUCGUUCAAGUUCAAAAUUUGAAUAGAUUGCCAGGCAGCUUAUUGAAUUAUUUAUUUUAACUGGCUUAUUUCUAUAUUGGAUAAUUUCUUCCAUGCGUUUCCACUAUAUCAAUAACGGGAGGCCAUUAUUGAUUUUUCUAAAGCCAUUAGGUUCAAUGAAUUGUUCAAUUAGUUUUACGAUUUCAGGUAGAGAAAGAUGCAAGAUUGCCACUCUUGGCAGUUAGAAACAACUUCUAAAAGGUGGAUAAUGCUCUGAUUUGUAAAAUGCACAGGUGCAUGUUAGAGCUGGACCCUGUAUCACACAGGCAGAUCAAGGCUUGUAUCAUCAUGGGUCGGGGUUGAUAAUACUGUCUCCAGGCACUGUGUUUAGGGAGCUAGUGGCAAAUGCAUAUUUGUGAGUGCUUACCCAUUGGUAUUUACCAUAGAUAUAUUGUUAAGCUAUUAUAAAUUCAGAUGUAUAAUAAACACACAAUGACUCUGGGAGAUGAAUAUUAAUAGAUAAUAUCAUGUUCACCUGUGGUCCUAAAUCCUUGAAUGCUCUCCAUUUUCUAUAGAAUAAAGUUCAACAUUCCAGGCAGACAAAUCCAGGCAAUACCCUAUGUGAAACUUAAUAAGCAUUUUCUUAACUUCACACUUUUGCUAUUUUUAUACUCUGGAAUACUCUCAUGUCUCUGUUACUAUCCUUUCCAUGUGUUGGGGAGUCAGGGAAUCACAAUACAGAGCUUCCCAAACUUCAGCCAUCUAUGCACCAGCUUCUCAUGCCCACAAUCCAACUGUAUUCCCAUUCAUUUAAUUUUACAGAUGAUACACUCUAGUUACUUAAAUAGAUACACUAGGCUCCUGUACAGCAUAUACACUAAUAAAAUUGUGGGUUUAGAUUCUAGUCAUACUAUUUUUGGUACAUGUUAAAACAGACACAUAGGGGAUCCCUGGGUGGCUCAGAGGUUUGGUGCCUGCCUUUGGCCCAGGGCACCAUCCUGGAGUCUCGGGAUCAAGUCCCGCAUGGAGUCUUCUUCUCCCUCUGCCUAUGUCUCUGCCUCUCUCUCUCUCUCUCUCUUUCUCUGUGUGUGUGUCUAUCAUGAAUAAAUAAAUAAAUAAAUCUAAAGAAAAAUAAAACAGACACACAACUAUUAAAAUAAACCAUGAACCACAUAAAAAUACCCUCACAUACUCCUCAGGAUUCUCAUAUCACACUUAAGGGAAUAUUAGGGUAGGAGAUAAGAUUUCAGAUUCUAGCCAGAGGCUUGGGUUUCAGCUCCAGCCACUUAUUAGCCAUGCAUCCUUGGGGAAGAUACAUAAACAUGCUAGGCCUCAGUUUACAUACUUAUACAUGAGGAUAGGAAUAGCAUUAUGACAAUUACAUGAGAAUAAACGUAAAGCACCUAGCACUUGGUGACCAUUACUGUGUCCAUUUCAGCAAGCAUUUGUGCAGAGUUACUAUAUAAUAGUUAGGAUCAAGGGUUGGAUUCAAAUCCUGGCUAUUGAGCAGUUUAGGCCAAAUUACUAUACUGCUCUGAGUCUCAGCAUCCUCACUGAGUUGCCAGGAGGUCAAGUUGACAUAAAUGUUGUACUUAGAGCAUUUCCUAUACUCAGUAAACACUUUAGAGAUUCUAUUAGUAAUUAUGAUUGCCUUCACUACAUCCUAUAUACCAGGCUAUGUGCUAGUGAUAGAAACAACUGACAAAGAAUUUAAAAAUCUCCACUUUUUCUGUGUAUUUUAUAUGCAAAUAUGUGAACAUAGACAAAGUACAGAAAUUAAAUAGAGGAUAAAGUGAAUGCUUAUGUACUGGGCAGGGAGAAGGGAAUACAGGAGAGCUUCAUGGAGGAGGUGAUGUUAGGUAUGGUUUUAAGGACCGAGGUGGGAUAUUAAAGGAUGAUUCAUCAAGAUAAUUCAGUCAACACUUUCUCUGGGAAGGCACAGCUAAUAGCUACUUCUUACUGUUUGAGGGGCAGAAACUGGUAUUGGACAUUGGAUUUUUGAUGUUGAGAGACUGGCCUGUGGUAAGUGCUUGAUAAGGAAGGUAUGAAGUCACAUCUCCUGGCCUAGGUUUAGUUUCUUAUUUAUAAAACAAACCUUUCUCUUGCCUCUCUGCUAUUCUAUUAUUCCACAGAAAGAUACUACUUAAUAUUUACAAUAAUAAAAACUCACAUAUAUUGCUACACACUUUAUACAUAUUUCAUUUUAUCCUCAUAGCGUCCAUAGGAAGUGGGCUCUAUCAUUAUUCUGACUCUACAGAUAAGUAAGCUGAGGCUUAGAAAGCUUAAGUAACUCUAACAAAGUUACCUACUAGCCUAAAACAUAGCUCGUUUGUCACAAGGAUGUGUAUGUAACCACUAUGCCACGCUGCCUCUCAAAAUGUCUAGUUUAAAUCCUGCUUCAUGAGGAAGUGAUGUCAAUUCCUCAGAUGCAGCCAUUUACUGAAUAAUGCACAGCCACUUCUCAGAUACGGGGGGAUGUGGAAGCAGAAUGCUUCUGGGACCUGGCAUAGGCCAGGUUUGUGGAAAUCCGCAUGGUAUGCAAAUAGUUUACAGCAACAGAGACUGGGUUCCCAGAACGAAUCAUUCUCACUCCCGCCGCUGAGUGAGACACCGUGGUGAUGGUUCAGCCCGGCACAAGCUCAGCUGGACAAGGCUAAUGAGGAUGGAGGAGACUCAGAACGUUGAACUCCUUGGUGAUCAGUGAAUUAUGAAGUUAAUAUACAAAUGUAAUCUGCAAUAAGAUGAAGCGAAGGCAAAUAGAUUCUAAUCACUGGUUAACUUUCCCGUGUGACAGUUUUCAUCAAGUAAUAUGCAUGGGAUCUCCACAGGAGCACUAAUCCUCUAUGAGGCCCGUGGGGGUGGAGGCUCAACCACCUGGAGCAGGUUGGAAGGGAAUAAAAAUAAGUAAGGCAGCAGAAUCUUCGGUAUACAGUCCAUAGUCUUAGUUUAAACUGCUACUAUGGCCCUCAGACAAGAGCCACUUAAAACAGGGGAUAUAUUUUUUGGCUCCUUAACCCACGAAGGGGACAUUCCACAAACUCAGAACAUUAGUCUGGGAAGAACCUUGGAGAUUUAUAUUCUCCAAGUCUCUAAUUGUACAGGUAUGGAAACAAGCAGGUGGUGGGAUAUAAAAUAAAAACAUAAAAAUAGAUAGCGUGGUAUUUUAGAAACUACAUUCACAAUGAAUCUAGGGAAAACUACUUUCUAUCAAAAUGUGGGAUAGGGACUAGUUGAAAAACGAGCAAAGUCACCCUAACUUUGGCUGGUGUCAGUGGGAUGUAAUGGGAGGGGACCAUGUAGCACAUGUUGAGCUCCACACCAUUCUCCUGACAAUACUGACAUGAUGAAGAUAGUCCAUGGCUGAUGUGGGGCAGGAGGCCUGUGGGACUGCUUGGAGGACAGGAACUUGAUUCCACAUAUAGGCCUAUGUUCUUGAGAAACUCGGGCUCUCCCAGAUCCACUGCUCUGUCUCCAGCACAGAUAAUGAGAAUAAUCAUGCAUGUGAUGAGCUACACGCCACAAAAGAGAGAGGAGGCUUUCUGGGAUUACGGGCGGAGGGGUGGGGGGGUGGGGGGGUGGACUGAUUAAAUUUAGAGGCAAGAGGGCCAGGAAGGUCUGUCUAGAGGAAUGAGUGGAGGAGCAGUAGGAUUUAGACAAGGCUAGUGGGAUGGGAUGACCAGGUGAUCCAGGAUGGUAAUCAGGGCAGAGAACCAUGUGUGUGAUGGUGUGGAAGCAAGGGGAACAUCAGUGUGGGCAAGUACACUGGAUAGAAAGGCAACACCCCAAGUAUGUGAUCGUUAUGUGCUUGUAUUGUGUGCCACUGUAUCCGCAAGGACGUGAAUGUGCAUUUAUCAGUGCACAUACCAGUUAUUGGUGACAUAGAAACCAUUCAUCAAGAGAGGCCUUAACACACAGGUGUGAUAAUCAAAGGGCACCUUGCCAGAGGUCCUCCCGUGGCUAUAUCUGUGUA
rnacentral:lncRNA from 1 species